UGAUGAUGAUGAUGAUGAUGAGGUAUUUUAACUAUAUCCAUUUGGUUGUUAAUUUCAUUGAUCUGUCUUUCUAAUCUUCUCAUGUUCUUCUCUUAAUUGCAUGAUAUAACUGUUCAUAAAAGGGCAUUAUGUCUGAUAAUUAAUUGGUGAGGUGUAAAAUCUUGCUUAGCCUCAUGUACUUUUAUUUUAAAAAUUUACGUUCUUUGUAACCUUAGUAGGUCUACGUGCAAUCUACUUGCGUUGUGUAAAUUGUUUUCUUCCAUUUCUUUUCUACUCACUUGCUGAUUUCUUGAUAACCCCUUUUUACAUCUAAUUGUGUGUCUGCAUAAUCCAGUUUGAAUUAACUUAGAUGCAUUUACUUUGUAUUGAAUAAUAGCGCAUUGUCUUAACUAUAUAAUGACUCAUUUAUUUCGAGUCUGAUUUUGAAAUGGCUUCCUCCCAAGAUGUCAAGAAAAGAGGUACUUUAUGGGGAACUUAGUGUUCCCCAUGUUGUGGAUUUGAACUAUCUGUCAAACUGCUAGUAUAUUUGUCCAUAUCACAAAUCGCUAGAAUUCUCUCCAUUGAUUAUUUCUUUGAGUUGUAAUAGCUUAGCUAAACUUGUAAUUCAUCUUAAUUAG
rnacentral:misc_RNA from 1 species